rnacentral:tRNA from 1 species
GGAAGGGUCGCUCAGCGGUAGAGCACCGCGGUGCCGCCGCGGCGGCGUUCAGCCUCGUGGCGUUCAAAUCCCACCCCUUCCG